rnacentral:rRNA from 1 species
UACGAAGGGGGCUAGCGUUGCUCGGAAUUACUGGGCGUAAAGGGAGCGUAGGCGGAUAGUUUAGUCAGAGGUGAAAGCCCAGGGCUCAACCUUGGAAUUGCCUUUGAUACUGGCUAUCUUGAGUACGGAAGAGGUAUGUGGAACUCCGAGUGUAGAGGUGAAAUUCGUAGAUAUUCGGAAGAACACCAGUGGCGAAGGCGACAUACUGGUCCGUUACUGACGCUGAGGCUCGAAGCGUGGGAGCAAACAG